CACGCGCGUGACCCCGGAGCUCUCCGCCGCGUCGCCAUUCGCUGCGCCGCUUACUCGUCAAGGCACGCCGCGCGCUGACUGGCCGCGGCCACCAGUCUCCAGGCCCCAGACGCCCCUCUCCGCCCCCCGCCCCCGCCCCCCAGCAAAUAAUAAACAAUCGAGUAAAAUUCUAAGGAAGGAGAGAGAGGAGAGGGAAAAAAGGAGAGGGCGCACUAGAAACCAAUCCUUCGCGGGCUGGCGGUGGGAGGGUUCAAGGGGGGACGCGAGAGGACAGCGGACGGGAGGAAGGGAGCCGACUUGGGGCGGUGGGUCCUCCAGCGACGAGGAGGCGUCGGGGCGGAAAGUUGCAGCGCACUCGACUGGGCGCGACUGAACGCAUAUCCCAGGGGCAUUCCGAAAGAGUGGAAGAGUCAAAGAUUCAGUGGAUUAACAGCCUUGUGAGCUUCACUUCACAGUGAGGAAUUGGGGGGCAGGCACAUGAUAAAGCCAUUUCCCUCAAAGAGCUUACUUGAGGGUAUAAGACAUGUUACUUGGGGGUAUGAAACAUGUUAAAAAGAAACAUUGCAAGUUUAAAAAUAGUAGAAGGCCAGGUGCAGUGGCUCACACCUGUAAUCCCAGCACUUUGGGAGGCCAAGGCAGGAGGAUGCCUUGAGCCCAGGAGUUCAAGACUAGCCUAGACAACAUGACGAAACCCGGGUGUCUACAAAAAAUACAAGAAGUCCCAGCUAUGGGAGGCCGAGGUGUAAGGAUGGAUCGCUUGAUCCCAGGAGGUCCAGGCUGCAAUGAGCCAUGAUUGUACCACUGCACUGCAGCGUGGGUGACAUGAGGCCCUGUCCUCCCUCCCCCUCCACAAAGGAAAAAAAAAAAACAGUAGAAGACAAAUACAAGAGGUCAUACGUAGAGUGCUGGGGCCAGUCUGCCAGCACACCAUUGCCCCUACUCCACUCAGCCACUGUCUUGCAUUCUGAGGAGGAAGAUUUGUUCUGAAUAGAAAGUAGAGGAAACAGAAGCACUGGAGAAACUGUACGUCGAUUCUGCUUAGCAACUGAUUAUACAUUAUCUAACCUUGUUUUUAAAGUACUUCAAUUUAACACAAUGGAGCAAAUAACCAGAACAAACUUCCUGAUGAAAACUAAAGCUGGAUAAGAUUUUUAAAAAUUUUUAAAAUGGAUUUUAUUGAGCUGGCAAAAAAGCAAGAAACCCACAGAGACCAAAAACAAAGGUGGGAAGUGAGCACACUCCUAGAAAAUCUGACAACAUUUGAGCUUCUACUUUGACAGGUGUGCAGAGUCUGGGACACAGAAGAUAAAUCCUCAGUCUUGUCCAAGAUCAGGAGAAUAAGAAGACUCUACCCCCCUAAAAGCAGGAGUCCAAAGGGCCAAAGUAAAGGUGAAUGUGAAAUUAACUGGCUUUGCAGAAGAGGAUCCCAGGAAAAAUCGUCUGUCUUGAUCAAAGUCCUGAAUAAAAGAGUAUAAAAAAUAUUCUUCCUUGAAAAU